rnacentral:rRNA from 1 species
GCAUAUACAGCACGCCCCUACAAUAACAACAUAUAAUAAAAACAAUCAAAUAUUGAAUAACAAAUACAAAAGUACAGAAAUGGAAAAUAUAUUUUAUAAUAGUAAUUUUUAACAACUGUACCUUGUGCAUUAUGGUUUUACAAGAAAAUAAUUAAAAAUAUAUAUCCCGAAUUCUAAGUGAGAUGUUAAACUGCUGUUAAGAACCCAUUAGUAGCUGUAGAAAAAGUUUUAAAAGACAGUUUAACAGAGGCUACAUACCAUCCGCAUAAGAAUAUAGCUGGUUUUCAACAAACAUUAUAUAUUAAAGCAUAUAAUUACAUUAUAGUGUUAUAUUAUUGAGGAUAAGCCCAAUAAUUUAAACAAUAUACAAUCAGAUCUACCAUACUACAUAGGCCUAAAAUCAGCCAACUAAAAUACUUUACCGUAAUAAAUAAAGACAAAAUAUAUAAUAUUUAUAUGUUAAAGAAAGUUGAAAUAAUGGACAAGCCCUUGCUCCAAAUCUACUAUGUAAAAAUAAGUAUUAUAAAUCUAUUACUACAACAACCUAGUAAAUACAACAAAUUAGACAUAAUAAUUAAUUAAGGAACUCGGCAAAUUACUAUUUCGACUGUUUAACAAAAACAUUGUCUCAUGAAAUAAAUAUGAGAUAAUACCUGCCCAGUGACAAAUGUUCAACGGCCGCGGUAUCCUAACCGUGCAAAGGUAGCAUAAUCAUUUGCCUAUUAAUUGUAGGCUAGAAUGAAAGGGUUAACGAAAUAAAAGCUGUCUCAAUUAAUUAACUAAAAAUUAUUUUCUAUCUGAAGAAAGGUAGAUAAUCUCGAAGGACAAGAAGACCCUAUAGAGCUUAAUUUUAAUUAUAGAAUUAUACUAUAUAAAUAUUCGGUUGGGGCGACCCAGGGCUAAUUAAUCACCCAUUAAACAAAAGAUAAAUAAAUCAAACAAAUGACCCUUAAAAGAUCACAAGACCAAGCUACCUUAGGGAUAACAGGCUAAUCCUACUUAAGAGUCCUUAUCAACAGUAGGGUUUGGCACCUCGAUGUUGGCUUAGGGUAUCUAUAUGGCGCAAAAGUCAUAUGAAGAUGGUUUGUUCAACCAGUAAUAUCCCUACAUGAGCUGAGUUCAGACCGGCGUAAGCCAGGUUAGCUUCUAUCCUCGACAACUACACUUACUCCUAGUACGAAAGGACCUGAGUAAAGUAAUAACUUACAUAAAAGAACUCAUAUAAUUAUAUAUAAAAAUUUUACAAUAUAAACUAUA